rnacentral:rRNA from 1 species
CCCUUAGAUGUUCUGGGCUGCACGCGUGCUACACUGAUUAUUUCAACAAGUGUUUUAACUGGAGAGUUUGCGUAAUCCUGAAAUGUUAUCGUGAUGGGAGUAGAGUAUUGUAUUUGUUAAUCUUUAACGAGGAAUUCCUAGUAAGUGUAGGUUUAUAAGUUGUUCUGAUUACGUCCCUGCCCUUUGUACACACCGCCCGUCGCUCCUACCGAUUGAAUGCUCAGGUGAGCCAUUCGGACUUUCAUCAUGCUGGUUUCCAGUUUUGAUGAAGGAAAGUCUUGCGAACCUUAUCAUUUAGAGGAAGGAGAAGUCGUAACA